rnacentral:lncRNA from 1 species
CGUAGCAAAGGCCUCCAACACCUGGCCGCCGCCAUCUUUGCCCGCGAUUCCGGACCCAGAGGUCAACUUAAGCAAUUGUCCUUGCCCUCUUGCUGUAGGGACCAAUCGGAAAGCGGAAUCUGAGCCAGUCUGGGAAAGGACGAUUCUCAGUGGGCGUGGGUUAUGUUGCGUCAUUCAUGGUUUAGCCAAUCAUAUAACUUCUCCAGUCGUGGUUUCCUGCGUUUGUAGAUGGAAGGAAGAACUUGUGUGCUUAGACCUGACGCUGGGAGGAGAUGCUGCCACCUAGGUUACUUGUAGGACCCUAUACGGCAACCUCCUUUGCCAGGAACUAUUUAUAAACAUCCUGCAGGAAAAUGCAGUGAAGUAGAAGAGACAGGGAUAUCCCAGAAGGUUAUGCAAAACAUCAAGAGAAGAUGAGAGGAGUCUAUAUGUCAGAAUACACAUUUCCCACCUUGCCCAACAGUAGAAAAACAUAAGAAGAGAAAAACAUUAAAAAAUGACAAGGAAGUUAAUGGAAGCAAUGUGAUGGUGUUUGGAGGUGGAGCCUUCAGAAGGUAAUUAAUGCCCUUGUAAGAAGAGGCCAGAGAGCUUGCGCACCUUCUUCCUGCCAUGUGAGGAGCCAAGAAGCCGGCUGUCUGCAACCUGCAAGAGGACCCUCACUAGAAGCUAGCCAUACUGGCAUCCUCAUCUUGGCUUUCCAACUUCCAGAACUGUGAGAAGUAUAUGUUUGUGGUUUAGUCAAUGGUCUAUGGUAAUUUUUUUAUAGCAGUCCCAGCCAAGACAGUGCCUCAUUUACUACAUACCAUUUAUAUUAUUAUAUAGGCUCCUUUCAGAAACCCAUGUUCAAAUAAGAGAUAAGAUACUGAAACACAUAACACCUUCACUAGUUUUUAGUAUACAAAUAUUGAGAAAUAGUUUGUUAUUAACUAUCUCAUCCAAGAAAUGCAGAUUCAUGUUGUUUCUAAUUUUUUAUAUAUAAUUGACAAAAUGAAGAAACUUAACACCAUCCUAGAUUUUAGCUGCCCAAAGAAUGAAAAGAAUGAAAAAAAAAUCUUUGAAAACCCACAAGUGAUAUGGAUCUAAUUUAUGGUUAAAUAGAUAUAGAUAACAAACAGAAUACGCCUGUUUAAAACUGUUAAAAUGACAUUGGUUCUAAUUAUACUUUUAUUUAAAUUGAAAGACAAGGCAUUUAUAUGGUAUCUCUAACCAUCACAACUUUUGUGUGACAAAAAGAAAUUAUCACCAAAAUACACCUCCUUAAGUAAGUGUCUGAUUUCACACUUCCAGAAAAAGUGCUCUUUCUGGUCAAGCCAGCAAGAAUUGAGAAAGAUUAAGAAAGUGCUUCAAAGAUGUUUAUUAAAAAGUUGUCAUAAAAAUGUGAAGUAGAUGUAGCAUCAAGCAUACCAAAUAAAGUAAAACUGUCAUCAAGAAGAUUCAACAGCUAUGAAAAGAGUUCUUCAAAAUAUGAUAUGUUUUUCUAGAUGAUAAUAAAAUUUAUCAAUUCCAAAUGUCCACAUUAGUCUUUCAUAAAGACACCAAUGAGUCACAGGAAAAAAAAUUAAAAAUAAAAAAACCCUAUCUCAGGGAAUCAUGCUAACAACCUGAUGUGUUUUCUUCCACAUAUUUAUGUCUGCUUAUAAGUAUUUACAAACAUAUAUUCGCAUAUAUGCAUUUUGAAUUUUUUCUGUUGCUGCACUUAAAUUUUUUUCAUAAUAAAACAAGACUCCUGCAAUUUGCUUUUUUAGGUAGACUAUGUAUCCCUGACAACCAUCCAGGUCAGCUUGAUGAUUAACACAUUUGUUUUAAUAGCUACAUAGUAUUCUAUAAGUAUGAUUUAUUCAAGUGUGUGUGUGUGUGUGUGAGAGAGAGAGAGAGAGAGAGACAGAGACAGAAAAAGAGAGACAGAGGAGGAUAUUCAGGGGUUCUGUCCACUACAACAUUUUGUCACAGGCAACAGUGCUGAAAUGAAAACACUUGAACACAUAUUUUUAUGAUUUUACUUUUUAUGAUUUUCAAAAGUGUGUUUGCAAGGUCAAAGAAUAGAUGUGUUGCUCUUAAUAAAUAUCAAAAGAUUAUUUACUACUACCCAAAUUAUACUGUAAUUUCUUCUUGAACCGUUUAAUUUGUAUCCUCCUAUCAGUGAGGUUGAGAAAUAUUUUAUGCUUACUGACUUUUGCAAUAUUUCUUUCACGAAUUAUUGCCAUUUUCUAUUGUCCAUUUUUCUGUUAGGCUCUAUGAUUAGCUUAUUAGGCUUUGUGGUUUAUAUGCAUCAGAAAGAGUAAGACUUAAUUUUGUGUGGAACAAAUACCCUGGUGUAGCAUGUUUCAUUAGAAUUUGUUUAUAGAGAUAUUUGCCAUAGAAAAGUUAUUUUUUAUUAGUAAAGAAUGCUUUGUAUUUCCUUUGUGGCUUCUAAGUACCCUUUUUUGGUUAUUAUACCUUUAUCCAUAAGUAUCUUUAAAUAUUACAAAAAUUACAUAUUCUUUUAAAUAUUUUAAAGAUUUAUUAUAUUCAUUUAGGUUUUAAUCCACUUUUAAUUUUUUAGAUGAAAAGUAAGAGAAAAGUAUAUAAAUCAUGAGCACAAAUUGAACUAACCAAGGUAACAAUCAAUCUGCUCAAGAAAUUGAGCAUCACCACCACCUCCUCCUGCACUGUCCAAAUCAGCACCCCAGUACUCCAAAGCAAAUGUUACUCACUACACUGACUUCUAACACAAUAGACUUGUUUUGUCUGUUUUCAACUAUACAAAAAUGAAUCAUAGAGUAUGUGUUGUUUUGUAUUUGGCUCCUUUCACUAAAAUUUUGGUUUAUAAAAUUCAUCCAUGUGGUUGAACACAGUUGUAGAUUGUUCAUUUUAAUUGUUUUACAGUAUUUAUUGUGUGACUAAAACACUACUUAUUUAUUCUAUAAUUGACAGACUUUGGGUUGCUUUUGCUUUGGGAGUAUAAACAUUUUUAUAUCUAUGCUUUAGGUACAUGUUCAUGAAUUUGUGCUGAAUAAUUACUUGAGUGUGAAAUUGUUAUGUUAUGCGAUAUAUAGUAGUCAAAUAUAGAAGAUAAUGCAAAACAAUUUAAAGUGAUUGUAGCAGUUUGCUGUAUUCUACAGCAGCAGAUUGUAGCAGAUUACUGUAUUCUACAGCAGCAGCAUGUGAGAUUGCCAGUUGCUCAAAUUCGUGCCAAUACUUGGUAUUUUUUAUCUUUUAAUUUUAGACAUUCUGGAGAGUGUGUAGUAAUUUUUCAUCUUGGAAAAUUACAUUAAAUUAGUAUCCAUUUCUCUAAUUUUGAUAACAUUUUCAUAAGUUUAUUGUUAUUAGAUAUUUUCUUUAUUUUGAAGUGCUUAUUGUCCAUUUUACAUUGGGUCAUCUGUUAUUGAAUUGUAAACAUUCCUUGAAUAUUUAAAUAUGAGUGCUUGGUCAGUUUUUGUCACAAAUAUCCUCUUUUUUCACUUUUUGCCCUUUUAUUAUUCUGAAAAUGCCAAUUGAUUAAAAUUAAUUUUACUAUUGUUCAAUAUAUCAUGCUUUGUUUUUUCACAGUGUGUUUUGUGUCCUGUUUAAGAAUUCCUUCUCUCAUUUGGCAUUCAUUUGGCAUUCAUUUGGCUUGGCAAAAUUGGCG